rnacentral:lncRNA from 1 species
CGCAAAACCAAACCCAUCAGAAGUUUGCAGCACGUCCUUGUUUACAGCCGGGAAAUAAACCACGAAACAGCACAAAGGAGAGUCCAGGCCUGCCCGUGCUUCCGUGAACUCCUCACCCCGACCUCAUCCUUCCCUAGCUCCUACCUGUAGGCCUCAGGCCUCCUGACCUCCAGGCUCCUCACCCUCCAGCUGGCCUCUGCUCUACACCCAUCUUUGCGCCCUGCUUCCAAUCAUGCCAGGCCUCGGGGUCCCUGUCUCUAACUUCACCAUGAGACUCAGGUGCUUCUCUACACUCCACCCUCUCCAACACUGUUUGGAAUCUCAGGCUUGGUCCCAAUCCUAUGGGCUAACUUUGAAAAGACCGCUGUUCAUAAGGAGAGAGAAAGGAGGAAGAGAUGAGAAAGGAAGACAGAGAAAGAAACUCUAUGAUCAUGGUUUUUCCAAAAUUCAUGGUUAAAUUAGAACUUACUAUGUGCAAAUAUAG